UCCCUGGUAGUAUAUCGGAUAGUACACGCGCCUGUCAUCUCUGGAUAGCUGACUCGAACGCGCGAGAGCGGGGUUCGACUCCCCGCCAGGGAG